rnacentral:rRNA from 1 species
UGUAAGCGUAUACCAAAGUUGUUGCAGUUAAAACGCUCGUAGUCGGAAUUUGGCAGUUCCGGAUGUGUGCACGUCGUGUGCGCACUUCGCGGGGAUUGCUUUUGUGGUCUUGCGUAGGAUGAGGCACUUUUAUUAGUGAACGUCCUCACGCAACCACUUUUUACUGUGAGAAAAUCAAAGUGCUCAAAGCAGGCAUUUGCCGUGAAUGUAUUAGCAUGGAAUAAUAGAAUAGGACUUGGUUCUAUUUUGUUGGUUUGUUGGGACUGAGUAAUGAUUAAGAGGGACAGUUGGGGGCAUUUGUAUUUCGGUGCUAGAGGUGAAAUUCUUAGAUUACCGAAAGACAAACUGCUGCGAAAGCGUCUGCCAAGGAUGUUUUCAUUGA